rnacentral:tRNA from 1 species
GGUAGUGUGGCCGAGUGGUCUAAGGUGCUGGAUUUAGGCUCCAGUCCCAAAAGAGGCGUGUUUUCAAAUCCCACCACUGCCA